GGCCCGGCCAACCCAUCGCCCGUGUGGGGCUGGGCAGGUCCUGAGGGAACUGAGCCGGCCUGGCGGGUUGGUGUAACCUGGGCACGGGCUGUGCGUGCACGGCCAGCUCAGAGUGCUGAGCUCUGCGUCCAUUAAACCAUUAUUUUCUGCCCAGGAUGCUUCAGGCUGAUGCAAAAAAUACAUAUAUGUUCAGUGUGUGCGCUGAUAUCUCCAAACUGACACAGAGAACCCGGAGCUUUUCUGUGAUACCAUCAGGUUUGAGUGAUGGCUUUAGAGGAGAAAAGAUCAGAGCAGUCCUUGAGGAAGAAUUAAUCUCCAUUUGCUCCUGAGAUGAGCACCUGGUCCUGUGUGAGUGUGUGUGUGAGAGUCCCAGCACUGCAUUUCAAGUCAUCGAAACACUCAGGUGAGGAAUGUCAGCGUAGAAACGCCGUGAGGAGAUCAGGAGCUCGGACAAACCGGUUUUGUAAUUCAUCGGGUAGCCACGAGAUGUCAGCCGAGCUCCAUUCAAACCCAGCCGGGCGCUGUCAGCGUCAGCUCCCUCGUUGAGCCACGGGCGGUGUUUAUGAAUGGAAACGAUGACUGGCACUCUGCGGCCGCUUCUCCCCGCUGUGUCACGGCGCCUGGCGAGACUUUGACUUCCUGAUUUUCAGCAGCACCGAUGCGUGAAAGUAAAGGAAAAGCUGCUGCCUGUCCUGCCCUGCCCUCACAAACACGUUAUUUUCCACAUAGGAGGACAUGCUGUGCUCCAGUCCAGAGCACCAGCUGGAUCCUCAAGAUUACAUGGCUUCUCCAAAGGCACAUUUGUGACUCAGCUUUCACAGCUCUUCACAGUUGCCUGCAUUGCUGGGAUGGUGCUUACUCAGCAAUCCAAGGCCGAGUGGAACAACUUUUGAAGUAGAGAUUGUUGCUGACAGAUGGAGCUGGUUCCUGCAAGUACUGCACACUCAGAAAUCCCGACCAGUGGGAAACGUGGGCUAAGAAGUCCAUCAGUAAUGGCUUUUUGUGACACAGCUGUCAAAGCAGAAAUGCUUUAUGGAUUUUACUCUGUGCAAGUGAUCUGAUGUAUGGGAACUGUUGAAUCACGGCCUGAACCUCUGAUUGACCACCUGAGGUGAGUGCUGAGUCAGCCGCAGGGGCACAGGUGAAGGCAAUUUCACCUGAGUGACCGGAAGGGGUGGAUCCUGGCUGCACCCCCUCCUAGGCCCCAUUUAAGGGCUGACUCCCAAGGGAGAAGGUUCUCCAUCUGGUGAACGCUCCUCUUGAGGCCCUUCUACAAGCCUAAGGUACGGGUAAGUUCUUUAUUUCAUUUCUCCUUUGUAAUGUGGUAAUCUCUCUGGUCCAAUACCUGUAUACCCAUUUACCUUACAAUCUGUGUACCUGUUUGCUGUACAUCUGAGAAUGAUGGGAUGGAAAACAGUGAUUCCUAAACUGAAUUCUGAUGGCAUGUUCAAGCUCUUAUUUUUAUGAAUAGCGUGGAAGUGUAUCUAAUGCUGAUAGGGUAUGCACAGAAUGAUCUGUUGCAGGACCAGGGCCUCAGGUAGCUCUGUACUUCUGUGUGACACUUGUUGUCUGCAACUUAGUGACACUUGCCUUUUCCUUUUUCCAAUGGUGAAAGUUUCUUUAUGCAACAGGUUUUUAGAAGCUUUUGCUGUGUUUACAAUACGCAAGGAAAGGUUCAAUAACUUUGGUUAAGCAGUCUUUCUCUCCUUGUCAAAAAUUAUUUCAGCAAUUGUAUUAUUUCUUUCACAGUAUUUUUCUUCAAGACUCCUUUCUCAGGUUACAGAAGCAAUCUUCAGUUAGAAUGUCUUAUUUACACCAAGUAAAUGGUGAUGCUAUCAGCUGAAGUACAGACCAAUCAAGUACC
ensembl:lncRNA